rnacentral:rRNA from 1 species
UACGUAGGGCGCAAGCGUUAUCCGGAAUUAUUGGGCGUAAAGAGCUCGUAGGCGGUUUGUCGCGUCUGCCGUGAAAGUCCGGGCUCAACUCCGGAUCUGCGGUGGGUACGGGCAGACUAGAGUGAUGUAGGGGAGACUGGAAUUCCUGGUGUAGCGGUGAAAUGCGCAGAUAUCAGGAGGAACACCGGUGGCGAAGGCGGGUCUCUGGGCACUUACUGACGCUGAGGAGCGAAGCGUGGGGAGCGAACAGG